UACGGGAGGCAGCAGUGGGGAAUCUUGCACAAUGGGCGAAAGCCUGAUGCAGCGACGCCGCGUGCGGGAUGAAGGCCCUAUGGGUUGUAAACCGCUUUCAGCAGGGAAGAGGCCGCAAGGUGACGGUACCUGCAGAAGAAGCCCCGGCUAACUACGUGCCAGCAGCCGCGGUAAU
rnacentral:rRNA from 1 species